ACUCUCUCGCGAGAGGGCCGCAGAGCCGCCUUUGACGGGGGCGUGUACCUGGAGAGCAACGCUCUUGACAAAAUUCUCAGGGAAAACUCUUCAGCUCUGGAUGUCUCCCUUUUUGUGGAUCAAACACAAAGGGCAUCAUUCUAAAAUAUAUACAGAACCAUAAAAGCCCCAAAUAGCCAAAGCAACCCUGAGCAAAAAGAACAAGGCUGGAAGCAUCACACUACCAGACUUCAAAAUUUACUACAAAGCUCUAAUACCUAAAAUAACAUGGUACUGGCAUUAAAAAAAAAAAAAAAAUAGGCACAUAGACCACCAAUGAAACAGUAUAGAGAAUCUAGAUAUACCAACUCAUCUUUAACAAAGGUGCCAAGAACAUACAAUGAGGAAACGAUGGUCUUUUCAAUAAAUGGUGUGGGGGAAAGCUAGAUAACUAUAUGCAGAAGAAUGAAACAAGAUUCCUCUCUCUCGCUAUACACAAAAAUCAAAUCAAAAUGGAUUAAAGGCUUAAAUCUAAGACCUGAAACUACAAAACUAGAAGAACACACUGGAGAAGUGCUCCAGGACCUUGGUCUGGGAAAAGAUUUUUUUGUUUAAGACCUCAAAAGCACAGACAACAAAGCAAAAACAGACAAAUGAGAUUACAUUAAGCUAAAAAGUUUCUGCACAGCAAAGGAAACACUCAACAGAGUGGGGGAGACAACCCACAGAAUGAGAGAAAACAUUUUCAAACUAUCCAUCCGACAAGGGAUUAAUGACCAGAAUAAAGAGACCAAACAAUUUAAGCCAAAAACAAAACAAACAAACACACAAAAAAAACAAAAGCCAAAUAAUCUAAAAAGUGGGCAGGUUGGGUGGGGUGGCUCAAGCCUAUAAUCCCAGCACUUUGGGAGGCCAAGGCAGGCAGGUCAAGAGAUCGAGACCAUCCUGGCCAACAUGGUGAAACCCCAUCUCUACUGAAAAUACAAAAAAAAUUAGCCGGGUGUGGUGGCAUGUGCCUGUAGUCCCAGCUACUUGGGAAGCUGAGGCAGUGAGAAUCGCUUGAACCUGGGAGGCAGAGGUUGCAGUGAACCAAGAUCACACAACUGCACUCCAGCCUGAUGACAGAGCGAGACUCCAUCUUGAAAAAAAAAAAAAAAAAAGUGGGCAAAAGAUCCAAACAGACAUUUCUCAAAGGAAGACAUAAAAAUGGCCAACAGGUAUAUGAAAAAAUGCUCAACAUUACUAAUCAUUAGAGAAAUGCAAAUUAAAACAACAUGUUAUUUCACCCCAGUUAAAAUGGCUUGUAUUAAGAAAACAGAUAAUAACAGAUGCUAGUGAGGAUGUGGAGAAAAGAGAACCCUCAUACACUGUUGGUAGAAAUGUAAACUAGUACAACCACUAUGAAGAACAGUAUGGAAGUUCUUCAAAAAACUAAAAAUAGAAUUACCAUAUGAUCCAGCAAUUCCACUACUGAAUAUGUAUCCAAAAGAAAGGAAAUCCGUAUAUCAAAAAGAUAUCUGCACUCCCAUGUUUAUUGCAGCAUUGUUCACAAUAGCCAAGAUAUGGAAUUAACCUAAGUGCCCAUCAAUGGGUGAAUGGAUAAAGUGUGGUGGAUGGAAAGCCGAUUUCCAGUCUUUAUGAUAACGCCGAUGUUCCACUUGGGAAAGAUACUGUACAACAAUGAAAGUAGCCCUUUCUUUUGUCUUUCAAAGAAUGUAUUUUUAACAAACAGCCUCUGUGUGAUCCUUUUGACCACACAAUUUGUAGAGUUAACGCUGAAAUUUUCAUUAGCAACAAUGAAAGCACACACAGGCACAAUAUUAAUAUAGAUUAAUAUCAGCCUAUUUUGGUCAGAAAGGCUCAUUUAAAUGUUUAAGAGACAGAAGUCCCAAAUUGUAGUAAUUUCUUCCACUAGCAGGAGGAAGCUCAGAAUUAGUUUUUCUACAACACUAGAGGAAUACUACUCAAAAAUAAAAAGGAAUUAACCAUUGAUACAUGCAACAACACAGAUGAAUCUCAAAGUAAUUGUGCUGAAAGAAACCAGACCCAGAAAAAGAUAAAUUCUAUAUGAUCUCAUUUAUAUAAGACUCUAGGAAAUGCAAACUAAUCUACACAUACAGAAAACUGAGGGCAGGUACUGAGAAGGGUAGGAGGGGGGCGUUACAGAGAGGCAUGAGGAAACUUUUUGGGGUGAUAGAUAUGUUUACUACUUUGAUUGUAAGGAUGAGGUCGCAACUCUGUGCGUGUCAGUGGUAUAUUUUAAUAUGAACGGCUUAUUUUAUGUAAAUUCUACCCCUAUAAAGCUGUUUUUUUUAAAAAAAAAAACUUCUCUUUGAGAGACAUCACCUUUGUCUUUUAAACCAUCUAAUGUUGAAUCUAAAAGUUCAGUGUAAAGUUUAAUAAAAUCAGAGUGUGUAUGUGUCUUAAUUUCCAGGACAUAUAAUCAUAGUGAUUAAGCCAAAAGUGCUUAUAUGAUUACCUAUAAACUAUCAUAGUUAAAUGACUAAAUACCCUGCAUAAGGUAAAAUGAUUAUUUUAUUCCUAUAGAUUGAAAUUGCCCAACUUUUUAUUAGAGAAUAAUAGAUUAGAGGGCAUGUUGGCUCAUACCUGUAAGCCCAAUGCUUUGGGAGGCUGAAGCGGGAGGAUCCCUUGAGGCCAGGAGUUGAAGAUCAGCUUGGGCAACAUAGCAAGACCACAUCUCUACAAAAAAAUUUAAAAUAAAAUGUUUAUCCAAGCAUAGUGGCACUCACUCACCUGUAGUACUAGCUGCUGAGGAAGCUGAGGCCUGGAGUUCAAACUGCACAACGCUGCACUUCAACCUAUGUGACAAAGUGAGAUCCUAUCUCUAAAAUAAUUAAUUCAGUUUUUAUAAUUAGGGAACAUUUAAAUUCAGAUUAUAAGUAAAAAAUGGAAUAAACAGUCCUGUUACCUGAUAUGGUUUGGAUCUCCAUCCCUACCCAAAUCUUAUGUUGAAAUGUAAUCCCCAAUGCUGGAGGUGGGGCCUGGUGGGAGAUGAUUGGAUCAUGGUGGUGGUUUCUCAUGGUUUAACACCAUCGUCCCCUGGUGCUGUCGCCGUGAUGAUGAAUUCUCACGAGAUCUGGUUGGUUUAAAAGUGUGUGGCACCUCCCCCUUCUCUCUUGCUCCUGCUCCUACCAUGUGAGAUGCCUUGGUCCCCCUUUGCCUUCCGCCAUGAUUCAGAGUUCUCUGAGGCCUCCCCAGAAGCAGAUGCUGCCAUGCUUUCUGUACAGCCUGCAGAACCGUAAGCCAAUUAAACCUCUUUUCUUAUACAUUACCCAGUGUCAGAUAUUUCUUUAUAGCAGUGUGAGAAUGGAUUAAUACACUACGUCAUGCAAAAUGUAAAAACAGGCAACUCACUGAGAGUAAACCUAAUCAACUUGUUCAUUUAGAUAUAAACUGUAGAGACGACACUGCCAUCUAGUUGUUGAAUACUGAGUAUACUGUUGAAACAUUCUUGACAAUGUUCUAUUUCUCUUUUGUAGACUUACAAGGAACACACAGAAGCCCCUAACCAAUUACAUCUCCUUCCUAGGAGUGUGAAUGUGACUGCCAUAGUGCAGCCCAUGCUGCCCCUGGUAAUUAUAUGCCUCAACCCAAGCAGGAGCUUGUGAAAAAUGUGAGAGAAAGGACAAUGUCAUGUACCCCCAGUGUGAAGUAUAGCACCUGGAGAUAGCAGGCAUUCAAUAACUACUGGAUGGAUGGAGGCAUUAUGAAGUUUGCCAAGUUUGUUAACACUACUAAAGGUUUCAAUGAAUGUAAAAACAGUGGCAGAUGGGUGGUUUUCUUGACUGUGGGAAAGGUAAAAUAGUAUAAAGUACUAGCAAGUAUAAACACAGGCAUACCUCAUUUUAUUGCAUUUUGCUUUACUGUACUUUGCAGAUACUGCAUUUUUUACAAAUUAAAGGUUUAUGGCAACCCUCCAACAAACAAGUCUGUUAAUGCCACCCCAAAGUCAUGUGCUCAUUUUGUGUCUCUGUGUCACAUUUUGGUAAUUCCUGCAAUAUUUCAAACUUUGUAUUAUUAUUAUUUCUGUUACAGUGAUCUGUGGUCAGUGAUCUUUGAUGUUACUAUUUUGACCGUUUGUGGGCACCACAAACUGUGCCCAUAUAACAUCAGCGAACUUAAUAAAUGGUGUGUGUGUUCGGACUGCUCUACCAACCGGCCAUCCCCCUAUCUUUCUCCCUCUCCUCAAACCUCCUUAUUCCCUGAGACACAAUACUGAAAUCAGGCCAAUUAAUCACCCUGCAAUGGCCUCCCAGUGUUCAAGUUAAAAGAAGACUUGUACAUCUCUCAUUGUAAAUCAAAAGCUAGAAAUGGUUAAGCUUAAUGAAGAGGCAUGUCAAAAGCCAAGACAGGCUAAAAAAGCUAGGGUCUUGUGCCAAACCAUUAAUUCUUGAAGGAAAUUAGAAGUGUUACUCCAGUAAACACCUAAGAAAACCUUAUUGCUGAUACGGAGAAAAAGUUUUAGUGGUCUGGAUAGAAAAUCAAACCAGCCACAACAUUCCCUUAGGCCAAAGCCUAAUCCAGAGCAAGGUUCUAAAUUCAAUUCUAUGAAGACUGAGAGGUAAGGAAGCUACAGAAGUUUGAAGCUAGUAGAGGUUGGUUUAUGAGGUUUAAAGAAAGAAGUCAUCUCCAUAAAUAAAAGUGCAAGGUGAAGCAGAAAGUGCUGAUGUAGAAGCUGCAGGAGUUUAUCCAGAUCCAGCUAAGACCAUUGUUAAAGGUGGCUAUACUCAGUAACAGAUUUUCAAUGUAGAUGUAACAAGCCUUUUAUUGGAAGAAGCCACCUUAGACUUUCACCGCUACAGAGAAGUCAGUGCCUGGCUUCAAAUCUUCCAAGAACCGGCUGACUUGUUAAAAGCUAAUGCUGCUGGUGACUUUAUAUUGAAGCCAAUGCUCAUUUGCCAUUCUGAAAAUCCUAGGGCCCUUAACAAUUAUGCUAAAUCUACUCUGCCUGUACUCUAUAAAUGGGACAAAGCCUGGAAGACAGCACAUCUGUUUACAGCAUGAUUUACUGAAUAUUUUAAGCCCACCAUUGAGAUCUACUGCACAAAAAGAUUCCUUUCAAAAUAUUGCUGCUCAUUAACAAUCAUCUCGUAUCCCAAGAGCUCAGACGGAGAUGGACAACGAGAUUCAUGCUGUUUUCAAGCCUGCUAACACAAUGUCCACUCUAUAGCCCAUAGACCAUGGAGCAAUUUCAACUUUCAAGUCUUAUGAUUUAAGAAAUACAUGUUGUAAGGCUAUUGCUGCCAUAAAUAGUGAUUUCUCUGAUGGAUCUGUGCAAAGUAAAUUGAAAACUUUCUGGAAAGGAUUCACUAUUCUAGAUAUCAAUAAGAACAUUCAUGAUUCAUGGGAUGAGGGCAAAAUAUCAUUUACUGGAGUUUAGAAGUUGUUUCCUGUCCUCAGAGAUGACUUUUAAGGGUUCAAGACUUCAAUGGAGGAAGUAACUGCAGAUGUGGUAGAAAUUGCAAGAUAACUAGAAUUAGGCCAGGUGUGGUGGCUCAAGCCUAUAAUCCCAGCACUUUGGGAGGCUAAAGUGGGCAGAUCGCUUGAGGCCAGGAGUUUGAGACCAGCCUGGAGUGAAACCCUGUCUCUACAAAAAAUGCAAAAAAUUAGCCAGGCAUGGUGGCGUGUACCUGUAGUCCCAGCUACUCUAGAGGCUAAAGUGGGAGGAUCACUUGGGCCCAAGAGGUAGAGGCUGCAGUGAGCUGUGAUGGUGCCACUGCACUCCAGCCCGGGGGCAGAGCAAGACCCUAUCUCAAAAAGAAAAAAGGCCAGACGUGGUGGCUCAUGCCUGUAACUCCAGCACUUUGGGAGGCCAAGGCGGGAAGAUCAUUUGAGCUCAGAAGUUCAAGACCAACCUGGGCAACAUGGCAAAAUCCUGUCUCUACUAAAAAUACAAAAAUUAGCCAGGUGUAGUGGCACGCACCUGCAGUCUUAGUUCUUGGGAGGG
rnacentral:lncRNA from 1 species